rnacentral:rRNA from 1 species
GAUGAACGCUGGCGGCGUGCCUAACACAUGCAAGUCGAACGGAGAUUUAACGCUGAUGAGGCUUCGGCGGAAUCUUGUUAAAUCUUAGUGGCGGACGGGUGAGUAACGCGUGGGCAACCUGCCUCGUACUGGGGGAUAACAGUUGGAAACGACUGUUAAUACCGCAUAAGCGCACGGUGUCGCAUGACACAGUGUGAAAAACUCCGGUGGUACGAGAUGGGCCCGCGUCAGAUUAGCUAGUUGGUGGGGUAACGGCUCACCAAGGCGACGAUCUGUAGCCGGACUGAGAGGUCGGACGGCCACAUUGGGACUGAGACACGGCCCAAACUCCUACGGGAGGCAGCAGUGGGGGAUAUUGCACAAUGGGCGAAAGCCUGAUGCAGCGACGCCGCGUGAGUGAAGAAGUAUUUCGGUAUGUAAAGCUCUAUCAGCAGGGAAGAAAGGCUCGAAAGAGAGAUGACGGUAC